AAUCUUUGAUUUUGAGUCUUUCCGAAAGCUGUUAUCAUCUCCAAAAUCCAUAUUCUGGUAUGUAGAUAGCUGCUAAGUGCUGCAACUCACUAAGUUUGGCCACAUGCCUUCAUUGUAGCAUAUGCCCUCUGUGACAAGUAUAUAUAUUUUGGCCAUUUGAUAAUGUGAAUGAAUACGCAAGGUUUUGAUGAUACUAUGUAGUCGGGUUUGUACUUACUCUUGGGCUGCCGCUGGCAUUGGCCUUCAAUUCACCAUUAAAUGCGGAAGAGGAAGUCCACCUGCCAUAUGGUUAGAGCCU